ensembl:snRNA U6 U6 spliceosomal RNA
GGCUUUGGCAACCCUAUCCUAAAAUGGGAAUGAUACAGAGAAGUUUAGCAUCAUUCCUGUACAAGGAUGAUACGCAUAUUUGUGAAGCAUUCCAUAUUUUU